UGGUUUUCCACAAAUUCAAAGGAAAUGUAAUCACUUUCAUCGUGCAAUGCGCAUGCUGUGUUUCGUCGAUCGCUCGAUGGACGGACGCUACAUGUUGCAGAUCUCCAGCUGCGAGGACAACAAGGUAAGUGCCCCAGAUACAUUUUCAGCUCCAAAUUUGUACAAGCGUCUGUCAUCUUUCAUAAAAGCGAAAGUUACACGUAUGUUUGGAAAUAAUAAUUCACACGAAAAAUCCGUAUUUUUGCUGCGAUACAUCACAAUUUUGUUUCAAUUAUCGAACCGCAUAAUGAUUUUCCCUCUUGUACCGUGUAAAGUAUUAAUUAUCGCUUUCAAGGAGUCGUCAGCGUAGAUUUUCAUUAUUUAUUCGGUUCAAAUUGACAACGUUUAAAUAUACAUAAUUAAAUGACUGUUGAAUAAUUAUUGCAAAUCAGAGCCCCUUUUGGCCGUUACGUAAUGUGCAUUUCCAUUUUCUGCACGCGCUAUAUUCAAAUAAUAGCGUACCGUCCCGACUUCAAAGGGAUAAACGCGAAUUAUAAAGACAAUUAGCCGUUACGAAGAGAACGUUCUGAAAACAAAGGAGCGAGUGUAAUAAUCAAUUGUGAUGAUGAAUGAGAGUAACGAAAGUUCUCUUCGCGCCAUUUCCUGUAUUUUCUCGCAUUUCUCUCGCGCAGUGAUUAAUUGUACAACUUAACGAUUAUAUUCAAACGGACACGAUGCGAAUCUUGCCAUCGUGUCCCGGUUAAAUGAACGAUUCUCAGUUAUCCAAUAAAUGGCGUGAAACAUUAGAUUGGAAUCGGCGUGCUAUCAUGUUUUCUCACGUUCGAUACAAUAUUUGAUGCAGAUAUUUGCACAAGGAUGGAAUUCAUACACGGCCGCGUCGUUUCCCUUUUAUUCCGCGUGAAAUUUUUUCCCGUUCAAAACAACUAGAAAUAACAUGGUAAUAAAAAUACAAUUUUUUUUUUAAUGGCAAUUAAUUACUUUGGAAGCAUUACCGACGAAAGAGGCAGUCUUUCGAGUGUGAAAUUUACAGUGAACUAUUCGAAUAGUCACGUAAAAAUGAAAAUAUUUUUUAACGAAUUGCUUAAUAAUAUCUUUUUUGUAUAUAAAACCAUUGGCAUAUGCAAGUAUCUUUGUGAAAUUACUUUUUUAUGGUGAUGAAUCUUGUAUCGAUGUGCAAAUUUGCAAAAUGCGUGUCGCAUCCGUUCCUCCGUUUAAAGGGUUAAAUACGAGACAAUUGCCCGUAAUCCUUUCAUCGAGAUUCAUCGUUUUUGUCGCUACAGUUGCGAGCGCGUUGCACUUCUAUUACACACAUAAUUUCAUCGGCCACGUAGGGGAAAGAGAGGGCAGAUGUAUAUUCUCGGGCGAGUGCGGCCCUGCGGGGUGUAAUUGCCGCCACCCUCCGGGUUUCAUGUCGCAGGGCCGGCGCGACCAUAAUUCGUCGUCGAUCGCGACGAUUGCGGCGACUGAUUGCGAACGCGAUUUAACCGAGGACAAACGGGGUGGCCGUACGUCUACCUUUGAAACAUACCUCGCGCUCGUAUAAACCGUAUGUUAAAUUGCGCGCUUUAAAACGAUUUACGUUCCUUUUACGCAAACUGGAUUUAUACGCUCGCGCGCGCGCGCGCUGCCCGGUUUUCGAGCGACAGUCUCCUUAUGAUUGCACACGUCGUUACGCAGUUGUUACAUCCGUUGCACGCAUGUGUAACGGAGCAAUCGUUCUCUCGUGCAUUAUUUGAUAAUGUUUUGUAAUUACGUUGUAUAGAAAUGGCUGCGUUCAGCGCCAAAAGAAAACAAGUUUAACAAUUGCUUAGUGAUUCGUUAAUAUGUUAAUUGAUUCCCGCUUUUAAUUCGCUGGAUCUAAAUGUACACGGAGAAAAGUUUAUAAUAAAAUUUACUAUAGUAAACAGUUUUUCGCGAACCAUGGAAUUACGAACAUUUCACUAUGUUUUUCAUCAAAAUUAAAGUAAUAAUUAAUUUUUGAAAAUAUAAAUGUAAACUUAAAAGUGUCUUCUAUAGAUCAGACAGUAUAUAACAGUUUGUAUAAUACUAAAUAAACGUCUGAAAGAAAUUGAGCAUCAAAACUGGUUCAAACUGGUCAAAACUGGUCCAAAACUAGGUUACAUUUUUCUUUUCUUUUCCUUCAACACGAGUUAUUUGUAUAAAAUAUUUGCAAUCUAAUGUAUACGAGGAUUUUUAGAAACCUUUGAUUUUAAUGUAAAUAUUUUGGUCCAUUAUUUAAAUACCUUAUGUUUUUAACAAUAUUAAUACAGUGCAAUGUAUUAAUAAUUUAGUUAGUUUUCAAGAAAUAAGAGGGUGCCGAUAUAGGCGGCAUAGGAGGCCUAUGCCGAUAUGUUGGCAUUCUCUAUGUAUUUUUAUGUUUAUGAAAUAGUUUUUAAUGUAGAAAUUUUAUUAUGGCGUAACAGAUUAUUGUGAGCACACGUACAUGAGCAAAGUGAAAAAAAAUCUUGUAGAGAUUGAGAAACUAUGUGGAACGCGAGGCACAGCGUGUGGAGCGCUAAUUGUUUCACAGUCAAAUAGGUCCUCGUAAAAUUAAUUCUCUAAAAUUCGCGAAUACCGCGUGCGUCGAAUAUUCCGCGAGAUUUUAUUCCAUCCUGCGAGUACUCGUGAAAGAGCCUUCUCGUACGGUACCGAGAUCCAAAUCCCAUAAUAUCGCGAAUGUACGAAAUAAAAUCUCAGGAGAAUACGUCGGCACGUGCGGCGUGCGUUACGAUCCCCCGACGGCAAAGGACGGCCCUGCAUUCCACCAGAGAGCCAUCAUCCGUCCUUUUUCCGCGGUGUACACAUAUAUAUAUAUACGCGCGGAAUAACGUGUACACGAUGCGCAGAUGCUAAUUGAUAGUAAUGCGCGAUAAUCUCAAACAAUUUACCGAACGAGAGCCGGGUUUGUUCCUCGAACAAAUCCCCUUCCUCCAACCCCCGCUCCCCUUACUACCAGCAUCACAUCGCCGUACCGCCAUCACUAUCGCGACUUCUAACACUACCCCGUCGCCAACCAGCAUCCGUAACGCAAAUACGGCCGGCGUGCGAUACCCGUUUCCAUUUUUCAUUAAAAUUCAGAGAAACUUCCGCGCGGCGUGCGAGUUUGGAAACUACGCCUGCGCUCUUUGUCCCGCGAGAAACUUGGCAAAAUCAUUUACAUUAAGUACUUACCGCCGGGAUAAGGCCAUGCACAUUCGUAGUUAUUACCUAACUGUACACAACAGUCUUGCCUCGUCGCAUACAAAAGCGGGCGCAAAAUGGCGCGACAAAGCUCGUCAUCUGUGCCUUUACAAUUGGGAGAUUUGCGAGCGAAAGCGGCCACGUUAUUUUAUUCCUUUUUUACGGAACGUUGCCAUUUUUUUCUUCUCGCUUUUUUCUCGCCGGUAUUUUUAUCGCUUUGACGUAGUAAAUUAUGGUAGUACGUGGAAGCCAUUUUCUUUAUUUUAUUCGGCAUUGUUGGACGUCGUGAUGCAUUUCCGGAUUGAAACACAAUUGGGGAUGAUGUUACGUCGUAUACGGGUAUUACGUAGCUUCAGUAUAUCUUCUCACGUUACAAAGACAGCGAUUGUUGCCGCGCGUGAUUUAUGCUUGGCUCUCUUUGUUCUUGAAAACUCUUAAUUAUUAACAUAAAUUGAGAAUUUGACCGUUAACCUUCGCCCGACAUGGCCGGGCGGUCGCCCCGGGAGAAGAAUUAUAGUCGUGCGGCGUACACACCAUCGCAGCAGUCAAAGGACCGUUAUGUGCAAAGGCUCGAAUAGAGGCCAUAAAAAAAUGAUAGUUAUUUGUAGGAACACACAUUUUGCACAUUUUGCAUGCCACCCUGGCGGCGUCGAUGAUCAACGUUGCUUCCGUACGAUUCUUUUUCACGAAAAAUCCUCGAAGGACGAAGGUGCUAGGGACCGUAUCAUCGGCACGGCGAUGGCAUAGAAUAGGUACCGUCGACUGCCAAGCGCAGAUUCGAGAUUCCAGACGGUGCGUUCGCGAUUUUUCAUCCGCGCUGUUAGCUACGAAGUUUUCAAUAGCGGCGCGCGCGCACUCCACCCCCGAAUUCUGCCAAUGUCAACAAACUUGGGCGAUCGAAGAUCUUCAAAGUCUCUGCUUGGACGUUUCCCAACUUUUCAAAAGUCAACGGAAUUUUCCUGACGCGAUGUCAGGAAGAAUGAUGGAAUCAAAAGACUCUUCCAGGCGACUUUUCGCACUGUCAAUAUCCUCCGCGUGAUUUUCAAGAUUGUCGAAAUUCCCGGGCUUACAGAAUCAUAAAACACUCCCGCGAACAUUGUUUGCGUCGUCUCGUUCCCAUCGCUAGCUCGCAACGCGCUCUCCGUCCUCGAGAGGGUAUCUCGUGCCACCCUGCCGACUUCGCCGGUAUAUACAUCCCCCCAUUCCGCCAUCCAAGGGCGACCAGGGUUGCCUGGCUAAGUCGCCAAAAGCUUGCACUCCCGGCGGAAUUCAGCCGCCGUCAUGCCUGAGACCGAGCGUAUUGCGUGGCGUCCCCCGGCGUUGCCGAUGCACUUCCAUCCACCGGGAUCGUGCUUCGUAAAAUUGGAUUUGCGCAUGGCAUGUAGACGAUUUGUCAUACCGGCUGGUUACAUUCUUGCGAAGGUUCCACCGGCGCUAGUAAUAUCUCGCUCACUCGCUCGCUCGCUCGCUCGCUCGCUCGCUCGAUGAACUCUCGCAAUGAUAUUUCGCAACUCUGCACGCAUCGGCAAACGAUCUCGUAAUUGUGAUUGAUCGCUGACACAUUGCCGCGCAUAUGAAAUCGCAAAACGGUGCCUCUCCCUAGCCGAAAUCGAUAGCUCAUUAACCAGACGCGCACGUUUAUAUUUUUCCGUUCGUACUUGUCGCGCAUCGGACGCGCCGACGGAUUUAAUAUCGCGAGGUCUCGUUACCGUGAGAAUUAAAUAUAAAUAAAUAACUGCGAGUAAAUUGCGAUUCGCGAGAGGCCGUUUAUAACGUUUGAUUUCUACUCUUCUUGUUUUUAAUUAAAUUUCUUUUAACCCAGAUUCGGGAUUUUAAUUAAAAUUUUCUGCCGAUUCUUAGUUUUUCCAUCGCAUAUUUUUCUGCGCCGUCCUAGCCUCGAAAUUUCGACUUGCUAUUCGCUAUUUACUAUGACUUCGCGGGAGGCGAGGCGACGGUGUCCAAUCGAUUCACCGUCGCCGAAAGAGCGCGCGUUGUAUAUACAGGACAAGCAUGCAUCACGGUAAAUCCGAAUAUCGAGCAUGAAAAUAUCAUGCGCUCCUAUUAGAAAUACGAUGACGCCUUACAAAUAUCACAUAUGAGCGUGCGUAUAUCGAGUACACGACAGCAACAUACAGUAACAAGCGUAUUCAGUGAACGUCAUAACGCGACGCUCACUUGCAAAAACUGAAAACGAAAUUUUAUGACAGAAAUAGAAAACGUCAAUAAUUUCUUCUCAAUUAUGAAUCAUUGUCACUGGAGAAUAAUCAGCGAGAAUAAUACAUCCUUAAAAUUUCAUACUUUUCCACAAAUUAUUUAGUUUAAUCUCGUGUUCUUGUCAAAAUUAAAAUUGCGAAUCGCUAUCGCGGCAUCAUUGAUCGAUAGAUUUGCAACGUCCGUCGUAUUGGUGCGCCACGGGUACAGAUUACAAAUCGUUUGUUCGGUCAUGAUUUAUGAACAGCGUCGCACCACCGCCGAUUACAAUGGAGAUUCUCUCCGAAAUUGGCUGGACGAAAAUUAUUGUUCGCCGUGCAGGUCUCGCAAAAAGCGCCUUAAUCAGCGUGGUCGUGUGCGCUUUUUUUUUUUUUCAAUUUAUUCUGACAAUCUCCGAGGCGAUGGAGGAGAAAUUUCUCGAUGAACAGUAGAAAAAAAAGAGAAACAAUCGUGUCAUUUUCCGACGGCUAGCGAGUGUACUUUUCAAGUCAGUUCCACAGCAUCAUUCGACAAUAAGCUACGUAAGAUAACGGAGAGCCGUAUCUACGCGCUCCUUUCUGGCCGACCGAUCGAAACAUUCGGUCGGAAUGAUAGAAAGUAUCGUACACACAAUAACGAACGAAAAACUUCAAGUGCAGGGCAAAGUUUUUGCGAUAUCCGCGCGAACUUCAUCAGAUUUCGUUAUAGUUAGGCGAGAAGCAGCUAGAGCUUCUCAUCUGUUCUUCCGCAGUUCAAACAUCCGCUUUUAAAGCCCGCUUAUACUUUGUACUUAGUUUUCAUGUGAGAAAGAUGGGGAAGAGAAAAAGAGAGAGAGAGAGAGAGAGAGAGAGAGAGAGAGAAGGGGGAGACGGAAAGAUUGGGGGAUUGGGAACGAAACUUACCUGACGGAUACGAGUCGUUGGGCACGAUAUGGAAUCCCGAGGUCGCACCUCGGUCGACGGCGGCGGUGAUGGACAAAUCGUCUCGCGGAGAGAAAUUGAAUGUCGAACUAGUUUCCGACCACUUCCGGGAACGAAUAGUUCCGUCAGAACGGCUUUUGAUAAAUUUUCUUUGCGCACGCGCGCAGGUUAGCAAGACGAGAAUAUUUUUUCGCUCACGGGACAAAUGUGCCGUCAUGCGUCUCAUUUCUUAUUUAUGCAUCCGGGCAAAUCGCCCAUCUAAGUUCUACGAGAGCCAUAAACGAGAUUCUCGUCGUAUAAGUUGGAGUUACUUUUGUUUGUUUUGGGAGAAUUCUUAAGUCCAUGAUUAACUCUAGAACUCUAGAACGCAGGGGUAACCCUACCGUAAACGGAUAUAAUUCUGUUUACGUAUUGGUAUAAUGUUAUAUAACUUAAUAAAAGUGAGAAAUAAUAGUUCAAUUGAUUGAUGAUAAUUUUAAUAUUUUUGAUAACUAAUAAUAUAUUUUCAUUUUUAAAAAUCAGUUGUAAAUUUUGUUAGAAUUGUGUAUUUGAAUACAUUAUAGCUGCAUACAUUUUUUUGUACAAAAUACUUUAACGUUAUACGUUAAAUUAUGUUAAUUUAUGUUGGAGGAAAUUAAAUAUAAAUUAAAGAAUAAUUUUAGUAAUGCUCUAUGGUAUUAAAAUUUAUGAGAUUAUUAAAAUAAAUCCAUUUGUGUUAAAUCGUAGUUUAUCUUAAAUAAUGGCGAGUUUACUUAAGAUAUGACUAUACAUUUUUUAAGCUUUAGAGGGUUUGCGAUAACUCACGUCGUGAUGCGUAAAAAGAUCGUUAUUUUAAGUGUAACAUUAGCAGGGUCUUUUUUAUUGAAAUGUUUUAUCUUGCUUACGUAUAACAUGAGAAAAAAUUGCAUAAUCAACUGUUUCUGUCGACAAAUGUGCUGACUAAUGGCAAAUUCUCGGAAGAAUCUGCCAGGCGGUUCGUUCGA